CGUGUCCGGUAGUGGGGGAUAGCCCGGCGAAAGCCGGAUUAAUACCGCAUACGAUCUAAGGAUGAAAGCGGGGGAUCUUCGGACCUCGCGCUAUAGGGGCGGCCGAUGGCAGAUUAGCUAGUUGGUGGGGUAAAGGCCUACCAAGGCGACGAUCUGUAGCUGGUCUGAGAGGACGACCAGCCACACUGGGACUGAGACACGGCCCAGACUCCUACGGGAGGCAGCAGUGGGGAAUUUUGGACAAUGGGCGCAAGCCUGAUCC
rnacentral:rRNA from 1 species